ACGGGUGAGUAAUGUCUGGGGAUCUGCCCGAUAGAGGGGGAUAACCACUGGAAACGGUGGCUAAUACCGCAUAACGUCGCAAGACCAAAGAGGGGGACCUUCGGGCCUCUCACUAUCGGAUGAACCCAGAUGGGAUUAGCUAGUAGGCGGGGUAACGGCCCACCUAGGCGACGAUCCCUAGCUGGUCUGAGAGGAUGACCAGCCACACUGGAACUGAGACACGGUCCAGACUCCUACGGGAGGCAGCAGUGGGGAAUAUUGCACAAUGGGCGCAAGCCUGAUGCAGCCAUGCCGCGUGUAUGAAGAAGGCCUUCGGGUUGUAAAGUACUUUCAGCGGGGAGGAAGGCGAUGUGGUUAAUAACCGCGUCGAUUGACGUUACCCGCAGAAGAAGCACCGGCUAACUCCGUGCCAGCAGCCGCGGUAAUACGGAGGGUGCAAGCGUUAAUCGGAAUUACUGGGCGUAAAGCGCACGCAGGCGGCCUGUUAAGUCAGAUGUGAAAUCCCCGGGCUUAACCUGGGAACUGCAUUUGAAACUGGCAGGCUUGAGUCUCGUAGAGGGGGGUAGAAUUCCAGGUGUA
rnacentral:rRNA from 1 species